rnacentral:rRNA from 1 species
UACAGAGGGUGCGAACGUUGCUCGGAAUUACUGGGCGUAAAGCGCGUGUAGGCGGUUGCCCAAGUCGGGUGUGAAAGCCUUGAGCUCAACUCAAGAAAUGCACUCGGUACUGGGUGACUAGAGGACCGGAGAGGAUAGUGGAAUUCCCAGUGUAGUGGUGAAAUACGUAGAGAUUGGGAAGAACACCAGUGGCGAAGGCGGCUAUCUGGACGGUUUCUGACGCUAAGACGCGAAAGCGUGGGGAGCAAACAGG